GAUAAACGCUAGCGGGAGGCUUAACACAUGCAAGUCGAGGGGCAGCACGAUGUAGCAAUACGUUGGUGGCGACCGGCGCACGGGUGAGUAACACGUAUGCAACCUACCCUGUACAGGGGGAUAACCCGGAGAAAUUCGGACUAAUAUCCCAUAAAGAUAUUUGAGGGCAUCCUUGGAUAUUUAAAGCUCAGGCGGUACGGGAUGGGCAUGCGGAACAUUAGCUAGUUGGCAGGGUAACGGCCUACCAAGGCAACGAUCGGUAGCUGGUCUGAGAGGACGACCAGCCACACUGGGACUGAGACACGGCCCAGACUCCUACGGGAGGCAGCAGUGGGGAAUUUUGGACAAUGGGCGAAAGCCUGAUCCAGCGAUGCCGCGUGGG
rnacentral:rRNA from 1 species